rnacentral:rRNA from 2 species
AGGUGUGAUCAUACCAGCACUAAUGCACCGGAUCCCAUCAGAACUCCGCACUCAAGCGUGCUCGAGCGAGAGUAUUACUCGGAUGGGUGGCCUCCUGGGAAGUCCUCGUGUUGCACCUC